GAUGAAGAACGUAGCGAAAUGCGAUAAGUAGUGUGAAUUGCGGAAUUCAGUGAAUCAUCGAAUCUUUGAACGCACAUUGCGCCCCUUGGUAUUCCAUGGGGCAUGCCUGUUCGAGCGUCAUUUGUACCUUCAAGCUCUGCUUGGUGUUGGGUGAUUGUCUAUCUUUAUAGACUCGCCUUAAAGUCAUUGGCAGCCGGCAUAUUGGCCUGGGAGCGCAGCACAAGUCGCGCUUCUUGUCAUGAAUGUUGGCGUCCAGUAAGUCUACAUAUUUUGCUCUUGACCUCGGAUCAGGUAGGGAUACCCGCUGAACUUAAGCAUAUCAAUAAGCGGAGGA
rnacentral:misc_RNA from 1 species